rnacentral:rRNA from 1 species
GACGAACGCUGGCGGCGUGCUUAACACAUGCAAGUGGGGCGACGAACCAGGCUUCGGCCUGGGGCAAAGCCGCGAACGGGUGAGUAACACGUGGGUAACCUGCCCCGAAGACUGGGACAACCCGAGGAAACUCGGGCUAACACCAGGUGUGGUCUCUCUUCAUAAGCAGAGCGACCAAAGGAAGCUUCGGCCUCCGCUUCCGGAGGGGCCCGCGGCCCCUUGGCUUGUUGGUGGGGUAACGGCUCACCAAGGCUACGAUGGGUAGCUGGUCUGAGAGGACGAUCAGCCACACUGGGACUGAGACACGGCCCAGACUCCUACGGGAGGCAGCAGUGGGGAAUCUUGCGCAAUGGGCGACAGCCUGACGCAGCAACGCCGCGUGGGGGAAGAAGGCCUUCGGGUUGUAAACCUCUUUCAGGAGGGACGAAGCUUCGCCGGUGAAUAGCCGUGCGGAGUGACGGUACUUCCACAAGAAGCCCCGGCUAACUACGUGCCAGCCGCCGCAGUAA